rnacentral:rRNA from 1 species
AACGCGAAGAACCUUACCUGGUCUUGACAUCCACAGAACUUGCCAGAGAUGGCUUGGUGCCUUCGGGAACUGUGAGACAGGUGCUGCAUGGCUGUCGUCAGCUCGUGUUGUGAAAUGUUGGGUUAAGUCCCGCAACGAGCGCAACCCUUAUCCUUUGUUGCCAGCGGUUCGGCCGGGAACUCAAAGGAGACUGCCAGUGAUAAACUGGAGGAAGGUGGGGAUGACGUCAAGUCAUCAUGGCCCUUACGACCAGGGCUACACACGUGCUACAAUGGCAUAUACAAAGAGAAGCGACCUCGCGAGAGCAAGCGGACCUCAUAAAGUAUGUCGUAGUCCGGAUUGGAGUCUGCAACUCGACUCCAUGAAGUCGGAAUCGCUAGUAAUCGUGGAUCAGCACGCCGCGGUGAAUACGUUCCCGGGCCUUGUACACACCG